AAUAGAUACCCCGGUAGUCCACGCCGUAAACGAUGAGUGCUAAGUGUUAGGGGGGUUUCCGCCCCUUAGUGCUGCAGCUAACGCAUUAAGCACUCCGCCUGGGGAGUACGGUCGCAAGACUGAAACUCAAAGGAAUUGACGGGGGCCCGCACAAGCGGUGGAGCAUGUGGUUUAAUUCGAAGCAACGCGAAGAACCUUACCAGGUCUUGACAUCCCAUUGGCCACUAUGGAGACAUAGUUUUCCCUUCGGGGACAACGGUGACAGGUGGUGCAUGGUUGUCGUCAGCUCGUGUCGUGAGAUGUUGGGUUAAGUCCCGCAACGAGCGCAACCCUUGUUCUUAGUUGCCAUCAUUUAGUUGGGCACUCUAAGGAGACUGCCGGUGACAAACCGGAGGAAGGUGGGGAUGACGUCAAAUCAUCAUGCCCCUUAUGACCUGGGCUACACACGUGCUACAAUGGACGGUACAAACGGUUGCCAACCCGCGAGGGGGAGCUAAUCCGAUAAAACCGUUCUCAGUUCGGAUUGCAGGCUGCAACUCG
rnacentral:rRNA from 1 species